AUUGAACGCUGGCGGCAUGCCUUACACAUGCAAGUCGAACGGCAGCGGACCUUCGGGUGCCGGCGAGUGGCGAACGGGUGAGUAAUAUAUCGGAACGUACCUUUCAGUGGGGGAUAACGUAGCGAAAGUUACGCUAAUACCGCAUAUUCUGUGAGCAGGAAAGCAGGGGAUCGCAAGACCUUGCGCUGAUUGAGCGGCCGAUAUCAGAUUAGCUAGUUGGUGAGGUAAAGGCACACCAAGGCGACGAUCUGUAGCGGGUCUGAGAGGAUGAUCCGCCACACUGGAACUGAGACACGGUCCAGACUCCUACGGGAGGCAGCAGUGGGGAAUUUUGGACAAUGGGCGCAAGCCUGAUCCAGCCAUGCCGCGUGAGUGAAGAAGGCCUCGG
rnacentral:rRNA from 1 species